UACGUAGGUGACUAGCGUUGUCCGGAUUUACUGGGCGUAAAGAGCGCGCAGGCGGUCGUUCAAGUCGAGUGUGAAAGCCCCCGGCUCAACUGGGGAGGGUCAUUCGAUACUGAUCGACUCGAAGGCAGGAGAGGGAAGCGGAAUUCCCGGUGUAGUGGUGAAAUGCGUAGAUAUCGGGAGGAACACCAGUGGCGAAGGCAGCUUCCUGGCCUGUUCUUGACGCUGAGGCGCGAAAGCUAGGGGAGCAAACGGG
rnacentral:rRNA from 1 species